rnacentral:rRNA from 1 species
AUUGAACGCUGGCGGCAGGCCUAACACAUGCAAGUCGAGCGGAUGAAGGGAGCUUGCUCCUGGAUUCAGCGGCGGACGGGUGAGUAAUGCCUAGGAAUCUGCCUGGUAGUGGGGGAUAACGUCCGGAAACGGGCGCUAAUACCGCAUACGUCCUGAGGGAGAAAGUGGGGGAUCUUCGGACCUCACGCUAUCAGAUGAGCCUAGGUCGGAUUAGCUAGUUGGUUGGGUAAAGGCCUACCAAGGCGACGAUCCGUAACUGGUCUGAGAGGAUGAUCAGUCACACUGGAACUGAGACACGGUCCAGACUCCUACGGGAGGCAGCAGUGGGGAAUAUUGGACAAUGGGUGAAAGCCUGAUCCAGCAAUGCCGCGUGUGUGAAGAAGGUCUUCGGAUUGUAAAGCACUUUAAGUUGGGAGGAAGGGCAGUAAGUUAAUACCUUGCUGUUUUGACGUUACCAACAGAAUAAGCACCGGCUAACUUCGUG